UUCAACAAAUAUUGAUUAAACACCUCUUAUAUAAAAGGCUGUACCCUGUUCUCUAGGGAUAAAAGUAAUAGCUCCCACUUAUAGAGUUCUUCAUGGAUCACAAAGUGCUUUACAAAUAUCAUCUCAUUUGAUCCUGACAACAAUCCUGGAAGGCAUGUGCUAUUAAUAUUUCCAUUUUACAGAUGAGGGGACUGAGGCAGGAAAUAAUUUAACAUUACUUGUCUAGGGGUUGGAGUGUAACUUGAACUUGGAAUAUCACGUUUCCAGGUCCAAUGUUAUAUUCCCUGUACAUCCCAGAUGCCUAAAGAGGCAAAGAUGAAAGUUCCUCUGCCCUGAUCUAUAGAGUGUGUGUGUGUGUGAGUGUGUGUGAGAGAGAGAGAGAGAGAGAGAGAGAGAGAGAGAGAGAGAGAGAGAGAGAGAGAGAGAGAGAGAGAGAGAGAGAGAGAGAGAGAGAGAGAGAGAGAGAGAGAGAGAGAGAGAUCAAGGCUAAAUGCCAUGGUGUGAAUAACUGGGAAACCAGUACAAGACACCAAUGAAGGUUAAAGUAAGAGCAGAUGAAAUAGGCAGCAGCAUUCAGAAGGCUGGCAUAGGGGAUGCUUUUCACCAUGACUUUUAAGAAAUUCAUACAUUCUUAAUGUCAGUAAAUUUUGCUUUCCAGGUUGCAUAGAGAUUUAUUUUCUGAAAAGUCAAACUUCUUGUUGUAGCAUCAGAGGUGCAUCAGCUAAGAACCUUUGAGGUCAGCUAGUUCAAACCCUUCAUUUUAAUGAUGAGCAAAAUAAGGCCCAUAUGGGUGAAAUGACUUGUCCAAAGUCAGGAAGCUAAUGAAAAGAAAAAUCAGGAUUCAUUCUCAAGUCUUUGGAUUAAAUAUUCAUCAUUUUAAAGCAUGGGUUGGGGAAGAGAGCAAGAAAGAGACAAAGAUAGGUAGUCAAGGGUAGAGAGAGGGGGUACAACAUAGGAAAGGGGGAAGAGAAAGGAUAAAAGAAAGAAGAAAAAACAAGAAACAGAAAGAAAACAAGAGAAACAGGAGGGGUGGGAAGAACAAAUUUAGAAAGUACUUACUAGGUGCCAGGCAUUGUGCCAAGUGCCAAGGAUACAAAUUCAAACAAGAAAGAUACUCCUUCCAUUUAAUAGGAGCUUUUGUUCUAAAUUGGGGUGGAUGAAGAGAGUAAAAAUAGGGAGCUAUGAAGUUGGUAGGAAGGUACACAUCAAGAGUGGUGGCUUGGAGAUGGCUCAUGAGUGACUUGAAGGCCUUAAUACAAGCAAGAUAAGAAAAAAAAAAACUGACCAGUUAUCACCCACGAUGGUUCCAGAGAAGCAGAGUCCAAGGUUUCAGUGCAGAGGAUAUAGAGAUAAUAUGAGUGGAUAUUACAAGUCUAGUCAAAUCCACAAGCAUUGAUUAUUGCAUUUGCUAUAUUCCAGGCACUGUGCUAAGUGCUAAGGAUAGAAAGGGGAAAAAGACAGCCCUUUCUUUGAAGAAGCUCACAGUCUUGUGGGAGAGACAAUAUGUCAACAAAUAGACAAAAACAAGAUAUGUAUAGGAUAAUAUAAUAUAAUAGGAUAAUAUAAUAAAUAGGAGAUAAUCAAAAGGGGGAAGGCA
rnacentral:lncRNA from 1 species